rnacentral:lncRNA from 1 species
CCGAUCAUCGCUACAUGCUCUGUGUUUCUGUCAUUCAAAAGGAUUGGUACCAGAUCUUCAAUUGGGGCACCCCUCUCUUCGGUGAGGUCAUCGCGAGCAUCCAAUCCAUCGAUGGGACAGGGGUCAAAUUGGUCGCUUCUUUGCAAGGCUAUGCUGUAGCAGUGCCUGGCCAGGGCUUGGUCUCCCCGGACCUCUCCGAUCCCC